UACAGAGGGGGCGAGCGUUGUUCGGAAUUACUGGGCGUAAAGGGCGCGUAGGCGGCCUGCUAUGUCGAACGUGAAAUCCCCGGGCUCAACCCGGGAACUGCGUCCGAAAUUGGCAGGCUUGAAUCCGGGAGAGGGAUGUGGAAUUCCAGGUGUAGCGGUGAAAUGCGUAGAUAUCUGGAGGAACACCGGUGGCGAAGGCGGCAUCCUGGACCGGUAUUGACGCUGAGGCGCGAAAGCCAGGGGAGCAAACGGG
rnacentral:rRNA from 1 species